GGUAAUGCCGGAUGUUCCACAUGAUCGCAUGUGAUUGUGGGAAAGAUUUCAUCGGCGUGGGAUGGGGUCGCGUCCUAUCAGCUUGUUGGUGAGGUAACGGCUCACCAAGGCUUCGACGGGUAGCCGGCCUGAGAGGGCGACCGGCCACAUUGGGACUGAGAUACGGCCCAGACUCCUACGGGAGGCAGCAGUGGGGAAUAUUGCACAAUGGGCGCAAGCCUGAUGCAGCGACGCCGCGUGAGGGAUGGAGGCCUUCGGGUUGUAAACCUCUUUUGUUUGGGAGCAAGCCUUCGGGUGAGUGUACCUUUCGAAUAAGCGCCGGCUAACUACGUGCCAGCAGCCGCGGUAAUACGUAGGGCGCAAGCGUUAUCCGGAUUUAUUGGGCGUAAAGGGCUCGUAGGCGGCUCGUCGCGUCCGGUGUGAAAGUCCAUCGCUUAACGGUGGAUCUGCGCCGGGUACGGGCGGGCUGGAGUGCGGUAGGGGAGACUGGAAUUCCCGGUGUAACGGUGGAAUGUGUAGAUAUCGGGAAAGAACACCA
rnacentral:rRNA from 1 species